rnacentral:rRNA from 1 species
CCUACGGGUGGCAGCAGUGGGGAAUAUUGCACAAUGGGGGAAACCCUGAUGCAGCGACGCCGCGUGAGUGAAGAAGUAAUUCGUUAUGUAAAGCUCUAUCAGCAGGGAAGAAAAUGCCGGUACCUGUGUAAGAAGCCCCGGCUAACUACGUGCCAGCAGCCGCGGGAAUACGUAGGGGGCAAGCGGUAUCCGGAUUUACUGGGUGUAAAGGGAGCGUUGACGGCAGUGCAAGUCUGGAGUGAAAGGCGGGGGCUCAACCCUCGGACUGCUCUGGAAACUGGACGGCUGGAGUGCAGGAGAGGUAUGUGGAAUUCCUGGUGUAGCGGUGAAAUGCGUAGAUAUUAGGAGGAACACCAGUGGCGAAGGCGGCUUACUGGACUGUAACUGACGUUGAGGCUCGAAAGCGUGGGGAGCAAACAGGAUUAGAUACCCGAGUAGUC